GAAAUAAGACAUAAUGCAAUAUCAUGUAUGUGUACGUAAGAAAGAAGAAAUAAAAAAAGUCUCGAAGUGCACGCGCAGUCGUCAGAAGUCCUCGCUGUGCCUUAAACUCUAUUAUAAGUUUAAUCUCUGCACUACAAAUAAUAUCGGACGUUGAUUUCCGAUGGAGAGCGGCAAUUUCUUUUUACGCGUCCACUUCACUUCCCUCUCUCUUUUUAUCUCUCUCUCUCUUUUUCUCUCUUUCUUUCGCUUCCUUCCGUAGAAAAACACCAGACUUUUCGUCACCUUUCACCCCUUUCCACAAACUUCCCGUUCGGUUGUCCCGUUUGGUCCGCACUACCAGCAUGAUUAUUCGCUUUUGCAUCGCAAAAUGCUUGUGUCUACUAUGAUUUCUUUUUUUUUGGAUCGCUUCCAUGCCUGCCGUCCGAUCGGUUUCUCUCCUCUCGAUUCGCUUAAUAACUAAGUAAUACGGCUAAGUGUCUAAAACUACGCGCGGCCUCCGAAUGAGGUCUUGCCGCGUCCUCGUUCCGACACGAGGGCGGAUCAAAGUGUGAUUAUAGAGGAGCAUACUCUAUAUAUCUAUACGGGAUUACUUAUCAAGGUUACAUCGACGACACACCCUGCACGGUUACGUUCGAGUGUCUCGCGUUCGCGACGACGCGAAGCUUCGCGAUCGAUCGUGCCUGAGCGGAUCAUCGGGCAGGGACUAGCUUUCUCAGAAGAUCGUUUCGAUGCGGCACGAUCGUCGAUCUCGUAGCGCUCUAUUUUUGUUCGACUUUUAUUCAGUUUACGUUUUCUGUUCUUUAUCCCUUGUUACGGAAGGUUUACCGAUCUCUAUCCGUAUCAGAAGGGCUAAGCAGAGGCGAAUCUUCGAUUACUUCCGAACCCUUCUCGAUAUCUACUCGAUACUAACAUAGCGUUGCGCGUUUCCGAAAUUGCCGACGAAUUGCUUGCCUUAAACUAAACUUAACAAUGUCUUAAUUUUGAUAAAUACUACCGUGUUAAUUUUCCACACGACCCUUCUCUCCGUCUUCGCGUGAUCGACGUACCGAUCGCUUAAAAAAAUAGGGUACAAAAAUUAUUCAUCUAAAUUUAUGAGAUCUUACCGAAUCUAAAAUCGCUCCUUCGCGUAUUAAUUUUUUUUAUAACACAGCCGAAUAAAAAUGCCCGAAUUACCUCUAAGAAACUUAUAUCGAGAAUCUUAAUUUUUAGCGCCUGAUCCGCGUUCGCUCGAGGAACGCACCGUUUUUUUUUUAAUUUUCAUUUUGUAAAAAAGAAGUCUACCCUUAAGAUCCACCGUGAACUUAGCCCCCACUAAAAGCGCGACGACUACGAGAGCGUAUGUCGAUCAAUUCGCGCGAUCUCUCUCUCUCUCUCUCUCUCUCUCUCUCUCUCUUUCUCUCGGCCAAAUUUCGUUUUGCGGUUUCUUUUUUCUUUUUUCCUUUUUCCCUUUAUCUUCGCGUGUCCGCUAACUAUACUAAUUGUAAAGACGCAAAUAUUACGAAGUUCGCCGUAGUCGGGUCGGCAUUACCGUCGUGAUUGGUGUUGAUUUACAGUGACAGCGGCGGAUCUUCCCUUCUUAAAGACGACAAGAAAUGUACGUCGCAGUCUUACGCGGGUACCUUAUGUACGUAUACAAUGAAGAACAUACAUUCGUUAUCGUCGACGUUGUUUUAUGCCGUUAUUUGCCUUGGGAUCAGUAUAUUUAUAAAUCAAUUGCGCCGCGCGAUUCGCGAAG